CUAGACCCAACUAAACCAUUCUCAUUCUCUACUUUAUGCUCUGAUACCACAUUAUCUGUCACGCCUCGAGACCCGCCUAUUUGGUCGGAUUCGGGCCCGCUAACAGACCGCCGAACGGACAGAGUUUUUCCUGUACAUCCUAGGUGUCGCAAUCAAUACAAUUCGCAAGAUUCCAAUCAGGAACAGAUUUCAAGCAAGGAUUGCAUAAGGAAGUAUCAAAAAUAUAAAACAACUAAGCUAUUACAAACAUUCACAUCACAUGCUUUUUACAUAUUAUAUUUUUAUUUUUUUUCUUCCAAAUACAAUCAAUAUUAUUACAACAUUGUAUUCUUCUUUUCUACAACCCCUAGCUAGGCCGACCCGGAGUAAUGCUAUCU
rnacentral:lncRNA from 1 species